CAUCGCGCGCCAUUCGGCUAAAAACAGCUUUGGUGUGCGUUAACUAACCUUCAACCGCUCUUCUUCCGUUUUCAUAGCAUUCCACAUAAGCAUAAGAGCAUUCCCUGUGACAGUGUGGGUAACGUAAGUCCACCGAAAAAAAAAGAAGAAAAUAAUCAAAAUUGCCGGCCUACCAAACAACACCACCGGCGAACCAACACACCACCAUCGAACUCUGCAGGCCGAUGAGUCAUCGUACGCAAGUAACAUUUAAUUCCAGUCCCAAAAUAACCUUCAACCCGCUCGCAGUGUACGGUUCACGACGGUUCGGUUCGCCACUCCCAGCUCUGACAGUGUUACUGCUACUUGCCAUCGUCCAAUCAAUACAAGCACACGUCUCAAAUCAAGCAGAGAUAACCAACAAUUUGUUACACACCAUGGCCGAUAGCAACACUCUUGAUGCGCAGUUUGUCGGACAGUCGAACAGCUUCGCAACCAAGCUGUACCAGGCAAUAAGUGCGAAAACUGUGGGAGAGAAUGUGGUCAUUUCCCCGUUCUCGAUCGGCGCGUGUCUUUCGCUGGCCGCGAUGGGCGCUUCCGGUCCGACGGCCGAAGAAAUGUACUCCGUGCUGCAGUACGGAACACCGAACGAGAAGCAAACCGUGGCCGAUAACUAUCGCCGGCUCAUGACACGGCUCGCCACCGACAGUACGGUGAACGUGGCGAACAAGGUUUACGUUAUGCAGGAUUACGCGAUCAAGAGCGCGUUCAAUGCGAUCGCCACCGAGAGCUUCCAGUCGGAGGCGGAAGCGGUCAACUUCGCCGAGAGUGAGGUGGCCGCCAAAAAGAUAAACGGAUGGGUAGAGCAGAAAACGAACAACAAGAUUAAGGAUCUCAUCUCGCCGGACGCGUUGGAUGAGCUGUCCCGGAUGGUGCUGGUCAAUGCGGUACACUUCAAGGGUACCUGGACGUACCAGUUCGAUCCGCAGCUCACGCGUCCGUUUCCGUUUUGGACGAGCGAGACAGAAUCGAAAAACGUGCCGAUGAUGAACAUUAAGAAACACUUCGCCUACAACAACUUCGAACAGCACGGCUUCUCGGCCCUGGAGCUGACGUACGGUGCCAGCGACAUGACGAUGCUGAUACUGCUUCCCAACGCGCGAACGGGACUGGCGGCACUGGAGGAGAAACUUCCCAGCCUCGAUUUUGCCGACCUGACGUCCCAAAUGCACAAGCAGGAGGUCGAGGUGUUUCUGCCCAAGUUCAAGAUCGAAUUUACCCGCGACCUGAACGACGAUCUGAAAGCGCUCGGCAUGGGCCGAAUGUUCAGUGACUCGGCCGAAUUCCCCGACCUGUUGGAAGAAAACGAACCACUGAAGGUGUCCAAGGUGGUCCACAAAGCGUUCAUCGAGGUGAACGAGGAAGGAACUGAAGCAGCCGCCGCAACCGCGGCUGUUGUACGUGUCAAGCGAGCCCUCAUAAAUCGGCUCAAAGUUCGCCUAGACCACCCGUUCUUGUAUGUUUUGUUGAUGGGCAGUUCGCGGCAGACUGCCUUCAUUGGCCGCUACGUAAAACCCGAUCAAUCCGACGUCACCGAAGUAAAUCGCCGCGAUGAGUUGUAAAUCGCAGGGCGGCCAACCUGUUGCACGUUAUCUAGGUCUGCUGCUCUAAUCAGUGCCUCGUCGUUUUGUAUGAUUAUGGCGACAUUCUGUAUGAUCAUCUCCGAGCCUGUGAAAUUUACUGUGGAUCAUCCGUUCCUAUACGCGCUAAUGUCCCGGGAAAAGACUGUAUUUUUCAUGGGAAAAGCGUGCAAAAUGUCUUAAAAUCUGGUAUAAAUUGGCUGAGGAUUUAAUGUGAUUUGCGUUAUGAGAAAACACAAUUCAAAAGCCCGAAAUCUGGUAUGAUGUUCGUGGCGUGUUCCUUCGUAAUGCCAAUAACGUUCGCAGCAGAUCACCCAUUCUUGUACGCGCUGCAAGACCCGCAAGGAACUAUUAUGUUUAUGGGUAAGACCGCUAAAGUUUAAAUCCUCAGCCAGAAACGACUUCAAACAGGAAACAACGGCCUUAUGCAGACUUAACAGAGAGGCAGGCAGAUACCUCUCAAAAUAAUGUGCACCCAUGAUAUAGUAUUAAAGAGUACACAAACUGCUGGCUCGAAGCCUCGAACCAACAUAACACACACAGUCUUACACAUACCACCACACUUAAUGACCAAAGUAUUUAACGCACAUUGAAACGUUUGAUGUCGAUGUGAUAUUCAGCUAAUCGAAAACAGGAGAAAAUGAAUAUAAAUGUUGCUAGCUAUCUAA